rnacentral:piRNA from 1 species
UUAAUUUUGCGCCUGGAAAAAGUUCCAUCUC